GACGUAGGUGGCGAACGUUAUCCGGAAUUAUUGGGCGUAAAGGGUGCGUAGGUGGCCUGACAAGUUAUCAGUGGCAAAUCGAGGCUCAACCUCGUGGAAACUGGUAAUACUGUUCGGCUUGAGUACAGGAGAGGUUAACGGAACUCUAUGUGGAGCGGUAAAAUGCACAGAUAUAUGGAAGAACAUCAAUAAAGGCGAAGGCAGUUAACUAUUCUGUUACUGACGCUGAGGCACGAAAGCGUGGGGAGCAAAACGG
rnacentral:rRNA from 1 species